UUUUCCAGUUCUGGCUUCAAUUCCUUGGGUCCCCCUUGGACUUUUGUAUAAAAGCUCCUCUAGGAUUUUCAGAUCUCUGUACUUGGCAUCUCUCUCGAGGAGGUGGCUGGCAUUCUAGGUAGAGCUGUCACUCAUUUCUUUGUGCUUUCACUAGCACACAACACACACACUGCCAUUAAGGCAUCUGCCCUGUAAUACUCUGACUUUGCAAUACCAGACUGCAAGCCCCUUGAAGGCAGAGACUGUGUGUUGGUCCACCUGAUAUUGUCAGCAUUUUGUAUCAGGCCUGCCUGAUCACCCACCCCUCCUGCAUGGCUGCCCUACAAAGAAUCAAACAUACAAGGAACGGCUGUGCACGGGUAGUCUUACAUUGAGGGAGAUGCAAUAACAGUACAGGAGGCUCUCCAGGUACUGAUAAGACCUUGAUUUUAAGAUCAACAGUCAAGGCUAAGACUGAUUAAUCUUUUCAUUGAAAUAUAAACUUGCUAAUGGUAGAUAUGUGUGAUUUUUAUUUCAUGGCAUUCCAACUUGCUCUUUCUAACUCAGUGUUCACAUGAGCAUAUUUCCAGCAACUGAAGUUUUGAAUAAUACCUACUGGAGAGCCACCCAUCAUUAAGCAAGCACUGACUACAAAGAGUAAGAGAAUGAAUAUGUAGAUAAUGGAACUACUCUGGUUUCCCCUUUCCACUGGAAUUUGUAACCCAUUAAAAACAAGUUGGGUUUGAUCACCUUUAAGUUAUAAGAGACUCAAAAUCCUAUGGUUCAAGGAUGUAGUUUUAAGGCUUUUUAAUUUAUUGUUUGGCCAUACCCAUGGCUUAAGGGAUUUAAAUAAAAACUGAAAUGACUUCGAAGUGAACAAGGUACCAUUAACUUGAGGAAGAUAAGUCUGAUGAUUGAGCAGUGGAUCAAGUGACCUAAUUGCUUUGAUAAUAACCAAAAAAAAAAAAAAAAAAAAAAAGACUGGAAGCUCAAAUACUAAAGACUAAAAGUCAAUUUAGCAUUCCUAGACUCAGGCAACAAACAACGGUGGACAAAUGGAAUAUCUUUAAUACUGGCCACCAAUUUGACAAAAAUAACAUUCGUGAUUUUAAGUGAAAGUCAUGCUUAUAUAUCCUUAUAUUUAUCUAAUAAAAAGAAUCCAAAAAUAUUUUCAUAAUGAAUCAGAGGUACAAGACAUUAAUUGUAGCAAGUGUACUUCCCGUAUCAGUAGGAAUGCUGAUUGUUAAUUGAAUUACAUUAUGAAAAGUGCAUGUAUGAAAGCAAAGCUAACAAGUGAGUCUUAAAACGCUUACAUUCCUCUCAGAGCAAAGAAGCCCCAAAUAAAACCAUGACCUAGAAAUCACUGGCUCAAAGGCAGGUCAUCUUCACCUCAGUUUCUUGAUCCAUGAAAUAGGAAACAAUUUGACAAAAUUUGAGGUGAUGUAGAAUUUAGCAAAGCAACCGCCUAAGGUGUGCUUGCAUUAUACACCCUUCACUGAACCCUUGUGUGUGUGUGUGUGUGUGUUUUCAGCUAUUAGUCAUUACACAAAGCAGAGGUUUAGAGAAUGGUCUACAAUUUUCUGGAUUAAUUUCUUUAAUCCUGCUACCAAUUUAAUCAUCUUCAAAUCUCAGGAAAGUCUUUGUACAGCCUUUGAAUAUAAAUGCUUUAAUUUAAUUUGCUUUAAAAUUCAGUUUCAGGUCAUCUUAGUGGUACCAAGAGAUACUUUUAAAUUCCAGAUUGCGCUUACAUUAAAAGCACUUCACAUUAACAAGGUAUCUCCAGAUAUACUCCAAAUCAGAAGAAGCCAACCAUGUGUGGGGGAUGAAGAGUGAGCAGCCGAAGAUGAGAGGAGGGAAGGAAUUCUCAGAAGAUGCAUCUGAGGAUAAGGAACUUAGGGACAAAACAAACAAAAUGACUCUAUUUAUAUGAUCUGUGCUUAGAUGUUUAAAGAGUGAUUUCAAUGGAAAGGUCUGGGAGAGGAUUAAAGGCACUAGUGUUCUCUGAUAUAUCUAAUUAAGCAGCAGAAGCUGAAGAAGGAUGCUAUAAGCCAUCGUUUUUGCC
rnacentral:lncRNA from 1 species